rnacentral:rRNA from 1 species
AUUGAACGCUGGCGGCAGGCCUAACACAUGCAAGUCGAGCGAGCGGCGGACGGGUGAGUAAUGUCUGGGGACUGCCUGAUGGAGGGGGAUAACUACUGGAAACGGUAGCUAAUACCGCAUACGAUCGGAUUGCCCAGAUGGGAUUAGCUAGUAGGUGAGGUAAUGGCUCACCUAGGCGACGAUCCCUAGCUGGUCUGAGAGGAUGAUCAGCCACACUGGGACUGAGACACGGCCCAGACUCCUACGGAGGCAGCAGUGGGGAAUAUUGCACAAUGGGCGCAAGCCUGAUGCAGCCAUGCCGCGUGUGUGAAGAAGGCCUUAGGGUUGUAAAGUACUUUCAGUCGGGAGGCGUUACCUACAGAAGAAGCACCGGCUAACUCCGUGCCAGCAGCCGCGGUAAUAC